GACGAACGCUGGCGGCGUGCUUAACACAUGCAAGUCGAGCGGAAAGGCCCUUCGGGGUACUCGAGCGGCGAACGGGUGAGUAACACGUGAGUAAUCUGCCCUUGGCUUUGGGAUAACUACCGGAAACGGUGGCUAAUACCGGAUACGACAACCGUCUGCAUGGGCUGGUUGUGGAAAGUUUUUUCGGCCAGGGAUGUGCUCGCGGCCUAUCAGCUUGUUGGUGGGGUAAUGGCCUACCAAGGCUUCGACGGGUAGCCGGCCUGAGAGGGUGACCGGCCACACUGGGACUGAGACACGGCCGAGACUCCUACGGGAGGCAGCAGUGGGGAAUAUUGGACAAUGGGCGGAAGCCUGAUCCAGCAACGCCGCGUGAGGGAUGACGGCCUUCGGGUUGUAAACCUCUUUCAGUACCGACGAAGCGCCGAUGAUGGUGGUGACGGUAGGUACAGAAGAAGCACCGGCCAACUACGUG
rnacentral:rRNA from 1 species